rnacentral:rRNA from 1 species
AGAGUUUGAUCCUGGCUCAGGACGAACGCUGGCGGCGUGCCUAAUACAUGCAAGUCGAGCGGGGAUCUUCGGAUCCUAGCGGCGAACGGGUGAGUAACACGUGGGCAACCUGCCCCUUAGCCUGGAAUAACUUCGGGAAACCGGAGCUAAAACCGGAUAAUCUUAUUGUCUGCAUAGACGAUGAGUAAAAAGCUUGCUACUAAGGGAUGGGCCCGCGGCGCAUUAGCUAGUUGGAGAGGUAACGGCUCCCCAAGGCGACGAUGCGUAGCCGACCUGAGAGGGUGACCGGCCACACUGGGACUGAGACACGGCCCAGACUCCUACGGGAGGCAGCAGUAGGGAAUUUUCCGCAAUGGGCGAAAGCCUGACGGAGCAACGCCGCGUGAGUGAAGACGGCCUUCGGGUUGUAAAGCUCUGUUCUUGGGGAAGAAGACAGUGACGGUACCCAAGGAGAAAGCCCCGGCUAACUACGUGCCAGCAGCCGCGGUAAUACGUAGGGGGCAAGCGUUGUCCGGAAUUAUUGGGCGUAAAGCGCGCGUAGGCGGUUAGAUAAGUUGGAUGUGAAAGGCUACGGCUCAACCGUAGAGCGGCAUCCAAAACUGUUUAACUUGAGUGCAGGAGAGGAGAGUGGAAUUCCCGGUGUAGCGGUGGAAUGCGUAGAGAUCGGGAGGAACACCAGUGGCGAAGGCGACUCUCUGGCCUGUAACUGACGCUGAGGUGCGAAAGCGUGGGGGGCGAACAGGAUUAGAUACCCUAGUAGUCC